UACAAGAUAAGAAUGUCUAGAAAGGACAUCUAAAAAACCUUAUAAUUUAUGGUCCACAUAUACGAUGUUGUAAUACGUGGCAUUUGGCUUGAGAAUGUACCGAAUACUUGGCUAUAGAAGAUAAAAGAAAAAUUACAAAAACAAGUCUUAACAAUUCUAAUAGAUUUUUAAACAAAUUAAAAUUAAAUAUUAAUAAAUAUAAUCAAAGAUCAAUAAAAUUUAAUCAAAAUUUCAAAAGAAUUAUAUAAGAAGCACAAAGUAUUCCUAAAAAUGUUUUAAAGAAUCAAAAAGAAAUAACAUAGAAAUAUAAAAAAUAUACUAAAAUAAAAACCUUAAUUAAAUUCUAAUCAAAAUCUAAUCAAAUUCUAAUAAAAUCAUAGUUAAAUCCUAACCAAAUCCUAAAUAAAUCCUACUCAAAUCCUAAAUAAAUCCUAAAAUAUCCUAAUCAAAUCCUAAACAAAUCCUAAACAAAUCUUAGUCAAAUCCUAACCAAAUAUUAAUCAUAUCUUAAAUGAAUCUUAAUCAAAUUCUAACCAAAUCCUCAUCAAAUUCUAACCAAAUUCUAAUCAAAUCCUAAAAAAUCCUAAUCAAACCCUAAAUAUAUCCUAACCAAACCCUAAAUAAUUCCAAGUAAUUCCUAUAGCAAGUUUAAACCUCAAUAACUAAUGAAUGAAUC
rnacentral:lncRNA from 1 species